AAAGCCGGGUAGCACUAGCCCCUUACUCAUACAAAGGAGUCGAAGCCUGAGCAUAUGAGAGUCGUAGUAGUUCUGCGAAGAAGCUUGACGCCAUGGCCAUCCAGUUAAACUAUCCAACCAGGAAAUAUCUUGUCAAAUCUCACGUCCAGUCCUCCACUCCUCUCUCCUUUAGUCUCUAUACGCCCACGUCGUCGCCCACCUGGUCAAUAGCUUUCACGUGCGAUUACCCAAUCUCGACCUCGGCGGCUCGGCCUCGAUCGUACCGGUCAGCUUAACCCUCCCGCUCCGCUGUCGUGCGUUCUCCUGUCACCAAACUUCAGCCGGUGCAUGGGGACGUUCCCUGGAGGCCGUGGAUUGUUCGUGGGGGUGUCCCUGCCCAUCGAUCAGUAAUCAGGACGCUGGGAUUUUGUUGGCCGCGGUGGCGUUGGCUCGGCGGGCAGUGGUAGCCGUGGCCGCUGCGUCAAAGUCAAGCGAGAAGGAGAGCAGGGAGAGAAAGAGAGCUUGUUGGUGCUGAAAGCGUUUCGCGUCUGCACUGUUGUCCAGAAUGUCGUGGCUAACGCUCCAAAUCCUGGUGAGUACCUUUCCAUACGCUUCGUCCGUAUCUCCUCUACGUCUAGCACCACUUUUCAGGGAGUUUAGCGCACUCGGGCGAUGAGUUGCGUCUCACCAGUAGACCUCCGCCGUAGGGAAUGGCGGAGCCGCCGUGGCCGCGUGCGGAGGGUGGAAGAUGGCCACUAGCCGUUGAUCUGAUGAUGGGCGCCCAAUAUUAGAAGGUAGAUACCCCUUAGGUUAGGAAGAACCUGGACCCUAGAUCUCGCGAUGUACGGUAGAAAUCUGAUCGCGGGUUCAUUAAACCGAGACCGUCGGGUUCAGAUCCGGGGGCUAUGGCUGCAUACCGGUUCGCGGUCUGUUUCUGACCUUAGAUAUCAGAUCCAAUGGCCAGAUCGAGCUCGUGUUUAUGCCGCCACGAAACUUUGCAGAUGAGUCCCUAGGGUUUUGCUUUAUUAACCCGCCGUCCACCUCGGGUCAGGGUUGAGUCUGGUCGAUUUUGCGAAUUAAACCUCGAGCUUCUUAGUAAAUGACGCACAGUCCAGAUAACAGAGAAACUAGAUAAUUAAUAUUAGAAAUUGAUUUUUAGUAUAAAAAUAAAUCUUAAAACUUGUUUAAUUCAUAUUUAAUUCAUUUUAACUCCAAAUUAAUUCAUUUCAGUGGCAUUAUUUUUUUUAAUAUUGUUUAUCACUUAGUAAAUUUGUUUAGCCAUGAAACUUGAACACAUGAGCUAUGCUUUUGUAGGUACUCAAUAACUUCGGAAAUACAUAAUUUAAUAACCGUAAAACCAAAUUUAGUGAUUCUUGUACCUACAAUCUCGUAGCGACGCGUAGAUUAUUAUUACGCAGUUUAUUCUUAGGUUUGGUGUGAUGUUAAUUCUAUAUAUACAUUGUUCGUUUGUAUUGCUACGACUAGCGUGAGGUCACGAGGAUCUGAAGAUCAUCCUGGUACCUGGAAUCUCAAGUCCCAGGCAAGUUGUGCCCUUGAUCACUUCUUUUUACCUACUCAUGUUCUGAUUAAUCAUAAUGAUCUGCAUAGGUUAAUUUUGAUGGGACCCAAUAGGUUACCCUAGUUUGAUUAUCUUUAUACCUUGUUUACCACUGAACUUUUUGGGUAGUACUUGCUAGUGCUUUAUGUGGUUUUGGGUAUGAAGAUACAUUAUUCAUGAUUACACUUUUAUUAUCAGUUUAUUAUUUCUGUUCAUGAUAAGAUCAUUAUGUUAAUUGGAACAUGGAGCGACCACCCGGGAAAACAGUGCUACCACAAGGGUUUAAUGGGACGCCCUUGGCUGAUUAAUUAGGAAAGCUAGUGGAAGACUACCUUACCUGAAAGGGGCAAGGGCAGUAGGGGAGUGGUCAGUGUAGGGAGGCCCUCGGGAGGAUUUUGCUGCGAUGGCGGUCCUGCAAGGGAUUCCUGCAUUGGAGCUUCCUAUAAACUGUAGCGGGUUUUCUGAAGCUAGUGGAACUUUGUAAAGGCCUCGUAGUGUUACCCUGCCUCGCCUCCUCGGUAGAGGUGUAUGGGAAGUCGCGAUCCCUUGGCAGAUGGGUAACAUGACUUGUGGGUAAAGAUGCGCAACCUCUGCAGAGUGUAAAACUGGUAUACUAGCCGUGCUCACGGUCAAGAGCAGCUCGGACCCUCACAUGAUUAAUUAUGGAACUUAAAUUCAAUUUGUCAUAUGCAUUGCAUUGCAGGUGAUGUUGUUACUUUGUUCUACUACUUAAUUGGGUUGGUAUUUACUUAUACUUAGUAACUGCUAAUAAAAUUUUGACCAACUUUAAAAGCAAUGCUCAGCUCUAACCAUCCUCUUUGGUAAGCCUUACACUUCACAUGAACUCCCACCUUUGGCGAGUUCAUUCACAUUAUUCCCCACAACUUGUUGAGCGAUGAACGUAUGUGAGCUCACUCUUGCUGUCUCACACCCCCCCACAGGUCAAGAACAGGUACCGCAUGAUGAUGGGCGUGGAGGAUGCUGUGGCGAGUUCGUGAGAGAUCUAGGCCGUCGUCUCCCAGUCAACUUUGGGUUGCUGGACCGUUGUCUCCUUAUAAU
rnacentral:lncRNA from 1 species